rnacentral:rRNA from 1 species
CGGGCGACGCGGCGGUCUAAGUCCCUUGGAACGGGGCGUCAGAGAGGGUGAGAAUCCCGUAUGUGACCGGUGGCCGAGCCCAGGCGAAACCCCUUCGACGAGUCGAGUUGUUUGGGAAUGCAGCUCAAAACGGGUGGUAAAUUUCAUCUAAAGCUAAAUACCGGCCGGAGACCGAUAGCGCACAAGUAGAGUGAUCGAAAGAUGAAAAGCACUUUGGAAAGAGAGUCAAAAAGUACGUGAAAUUGUUGAAAGGGAAGCGCUUGCAACCAGACCUGCCCGCGGGUGUUCCACCGUCCUUCGGGGCGGCGUACUCGCCCGCGAUCAGGCCAGCGUCGGUUCGGGCGGCCGGAUAAAGGCCCUGGGAACGUAGCUCCUCUCGGGGAGUGUUAUAGCCCAAGGUGCAAUGCGGCCCGCCCGGACCGAGGACCGCGCUUCGGCGAGGAUGCUGGCGUAAUGGUUGUAAGCGGCCCGUCUUGAAACACGGACCAAGGAGUCGACCAACUAUGCGAGUGUUUGGGCGUCAAACCCACGCGCGCAAUGAAAGUGAACGGAGGUGGGAACCCCUUCGCGGGGGCGCACCAUCGACCGAUCCAGAUGUCUUCGGAUGGAUUUGAGUACGAGCAUAGCUGGUCGGACCCGAAAGAUGAUGAACUAUGCCUGAAUAGGGUGAAGCCAGAGGAAACUCUGGUGGAGGCUCGCAGCGGUUCUGACGUGCAAAUCGAUCGUCAAAUUUGGGCAUAGGGGCGAAAGACUAAUCGAAUCAUC